rnacentral:rRNA from 1 species
UGGGGAAUAUUGCACAAUGGGCGAAAGCCUGAUGCAGCGACGCCGCGUGCGGGAUGAAGGCCUUCGGGUUGUAAACCGCUUUUAAUUGGGAGCAAGCGAGAGUGAGUGUACCUUUUGAAUAAGCACCGGCUAACUACGUGCCAGCAGCCGCGGUAAUACGUAGGGUGCAAGCGUUAUCCGGAAUUAUUGGGCGUAAAGAGCUCGUAGGCGGUUUGUCACGCCUGGUGUGAAAGUCCAUCGCUUAACGGUGGAUCUGCGCCGGGUACGGGCAGGCUAGAGUGCAGUAGGGGAGAUUGGAAUUCCCGGUGUAACGGUGGAAUGUGUAGAUAUCGGGAAGAACACCAAUGGCGAAGGCAGAUCUCUGGGCUGUUACUGACGCUGAGGAGCGAAAGCAUGGGGAGCGAACAGGAUUAGAUACCCGUGGUAGUCCAUGCCGUAAAACGGUGGAUGCUG